rnacentral:rRNA from 1 species
AGAACUUAGCAGAGAUGCUUUGGUGCCUUCGGGAACUCUGAGACAGGUGCUGCAUGGCUGUCGUCAGCUCGUGUUGUGAAAUGUUGGGUUAAGUCCCGCAACGAGCGCAACCCUUAUCCUUUGUUGCCAGCGGUUAGGCCGGGAACUCAAAGGAGACUGCCAGUGAUAAACUGGAGGAAGGUGGGGAUGACGUCAAGUCAUCAUGGCCCUUACGAGUAGGGCUACACACGUGCUACAAUGGCGCAUACAAAGAGAAGCGACCUCGCGAGAGCAAGCGGACCUCAUAAAGUGCGUCGUAGUCCGGAUUGGAGUCUGCAACUCGGCUCCAUGAAGUCGGAAUCGCUAGUAAUCGUGGAUCAGAAUGCCACGGUGAAUACGUUCCCGGGCCUUGUACACACCGCCCGUCACACCAUGGGAGUGGGUUGCAAAAGAAGUAGGUAGCUUAACCUUCGGGAGGGCGCUUACCACUUUGUGAUUCAUGACUGGGGUGAAGUCGUAACAAGGUAGGCGUAGAUGA